rnacentral:rRNA from 1 species
UGCCGAGAAGGUCACACCCGUUCCCAUCCCGAACACGGUAGUUAAGCUUCUCUGCGCCAAUGGUAGUUGGGGGCUUCCCCCUGCGAGAGUAGGUCGCUGCCGGGC